rnacentral:rRNA from 1 species
UGGGGAAUAUUGCACAAUGGAGGGAACUCUGAUGCAGCGACGCCGCGUGAGUGAUGAAGGAAUUCGUUUCGUAAAACUCUGUUCUAUGGGAAGAAAAGGACUGUACCAUAGGAGAAGGCUCCGGCUAAAUACGUGCCAGCAGCCGCGGUAAUACGUAUGGAGCGAGCGUUGUCCGGAAUUAUUGGGCGUAAAGGGUGCGCAGGCGGCUUUACAAGUUGGAUGUGAAAUAUUGUGGCUCAACCACAAACGUGCAUCCAAAACUGCAAAGCUUGAGUUAAGGAGAGGUAAGUGGAAUUCCUGGUGUAGCGGUGGAAUGCGUAGAUAUCAGGAGGAAUACCGGUGGCGAAGGCGACUUACUGGACUUAAACUGACGCUCAGGCACGAAAGCGUGGGGAGCAAACAGG